GGCUCAGAGACUGAUCCAGAGCCCACUGAAAUCCAUGGGAAUCUUUCAUUGACUUCAGAGGGGUUUAGAUCAAGCCCUUA
rnacentral:miRNA from 1 species